UACGUAGGGGCCUAGCGUUGUCCGGAUUUAUUGGGCGUAAAGGGCGCGUAGGCGGUUUCUUAAGUUUGGAGUGACAGUGGGUGGCUUAACUGCCCAAGGCCUCUGAAAACUGGGGAACUUGAGGACCAGAGAGGGACAUAGAAUUCCGGGUGGAGUGGUGAAAUGCGUAGAUAUCCGGAGGAAUACCAAAGGCGAAGGCAGUGUCCUGGAGGGUGACUGACGCUGAGGCGCGAAAGCUAGGGGAGCGAACAGG
rnacentral:rRNA from 1 species